AGUAUUAGUGGUUGCUUGCCUUUUUGCCAUGGGACUAGCAACCCCUACGCUACGGUAGCAAUGGUUGCAACAGGGAAGGGUGCUUGGCAAGGUGUUCUUAUCAUGGAUGGAAAUGCACUCAAAAAGGCUCAUAAGGUAGAGGGACAGCCAUCAACAAUGCCAACAGUGGGACCUUGGCGGAAGAUGGUAACAUCAAAAGAUACCAAUUUCAUUGGAUACACUUUUAAGAAAUUCGAUGUCCUUAAAUCGCUUCAAAGUUCAGGUCUGCUUCUGGCAUGAGAAAAUGGAUCAUUUUUAAUGUGGAUUUCAUUAUACUUGUUCCUACUUACUUUUCCUUCCGAGGACGUCGAAAACCUGUUUUGUUUUGGUAUUAGGAAAAGACAAUUACUGAUUAGAUACUAUCCAUAUGUCUGAGGGUGCAAGUGUAGUCUGUUU